ACCUGGAGCCUACUGCCAGGAAGAUCCGGACUCAGACCGAAGCAAACUAACCAUUAAAAAAAAAAAAAAAAAAAAUGCAUGCAGUGGGAAUUUUUCCACUCGGGCCCUCGGCUGCCGAGUCGCGGCAGACUCCGGGAGCGAUGCACCCGCGGACGCCGACUCGGGGCGGUUUCGGAAGGACCCCACCGUCGGGGGCGCGGACUAGCUCCCAGCGCAUUGUUAGCAGAAGGGCGCCCUCCGGACGAAGCGCCUACACCCUUUGCUCCUGGAGAGCUCCCGGAGCCCGCCCAGGGCCGGGACCCGCGCACCGUAGGCCACCUCUCCCCGCCUUUUUAGGGUCCAACCCCUCGCACUUCACCUGACCAGACAAGUCCCAGCGCUCCGCCAGAGCCGCCUAUGCAAUGCGACUCCGAGCCCCAAGAAACCAACACGACCGCAGGAUGUUCCCUCCACACUGGUCAACAGGUCUGCAGAGCGCAGCACUCAAGAUCGCGGCACAGACUCAGACUUGCCCCUCGGGUUACCUUGUCCACGCUCUCCAGACCACGCUUUGGACUUUUUCACUUUUAUUUAAGAGUCCACCCGGGGAAAGAGGGAAAAAAAAAAUCCAGAGGAGAUCCGAGUCAAUUGGAAAGAAAAAAAAAAAAAUCAAAGGGUAUCCACAGCGGCGAAAAAGCCCAGACUCUGCCGACUUUCAAACGACAACAGGGCUUUCAAGAGGGUGCGGGGAGACCGCUUCCCACCCGGACCUGCCAGAAACCGGGCACCCCCAGCCACAUUGCCCCUCUUUCAGGCAGAAGGGAUUCCAACUCCACCACCGGAGGCCCCCUUCCGGGUCCUGGGCAAACACUGAGGUUGCUAAUGGCCACCCCACACGGCAGGCUGCUCCCCCUUCCUGAUGCACUCCUUCUAGAGCUUGAGAAGGCACCACUAUGGCAAAAAUGUUGGCUAGGUCUCUCUUCCCAACUUCUAUUGGGCCUGACAAUGAUCAUAUUAUCUUCACUGCACUUAUCAGUAGAGUCACCCCAGUAAGCCACGCACCCCCAAUUCCCUGUAGCCACAGCUGCCUCUCCCAUUGGGAGUUGCUCAAUAUGCAACUAGAUUCAACUGAGGACUUGCCCUCGUGUUUUAACUGUAGAGCUCAAUAGCACUUUCUGUUUCUCCCUGGAAAACCAAAGCUCUGGCAAUUUCUUAUUUUUGAAGAUGGGGGAGGGGGGCAAGAGCUGAGGCUCUCUGAGGCAUUGGCACAACUGUCACCCCUUUGUGACCGACUGGCACCACUGCCAUGCCUUUUGCUAUUUCCCAGCCCCUCCAUGAAGAGCUCCUGAUCAUUCAUAAGGUCUUCCACCCAGGAAGGAGAAUCCACCCCCACCCCCAACUGGGAACAGCAGCUCUCUGAGGGAUUCGAGACUCCCUCCACCCUAUACUGACACUCUGGUGGGCAAAUUUGCCCCACUUACAUAACUCUGGGUUUGCCUCCCAGCUCCUGCUGCUGCUU